GCAGUGAAUUCUACAAAGAGGCUAUGGGAAAGAAACCUGGAAAGUACCCUUGGCUGUGUACAUUUGAGUAAAGAGAGCACUAUAAAAUCAAAAACCAAUGAAAUGGUUUCCAGAACACAGAACUAUUAAGCUUAAGAAAAGGACAGAAGGAACUGAAGAGAGAGGAACUGUUUUGGAGCAUCACACUUCCACCUCAGAAGAAAUAAGGAAGGAAGGAGGAGGGUGUUCCCACGGCUCUUCAACCAGGCCGGCUCUUCAGCCUACAUCCCCAUCUCAUCAAGUAAAAGGGAUUUUUCAACUGGACCAACCAGAUGGUUUAACAGUGCACUCCCACACCAUUCAACUACGCAAGGGAGAUACACUUAACAUAUGCAGUCGUAUAACACCUACUAACAUUUUCAAACAUUAAACCUUUAAAAAAGAGUUCUAAAGAAAUAGAAGCUUGAAGUAUCAUCUCUCAAGUAUAUAGACACUACUUCAUGGUGUGGUAAUAUAUGCAUAUAGAAGCUAGUAAACACCUCCAGGAGAUGCAAAAGGAAUUAGAACUGCCACAAGGUGCAAGCAAAACCUUGAGGUGAGAAAAUCGAAUUUGGACACCGUUGAGGAGACUAUUGCAGUCAUCCAAGCUCAAGAUGGUGGAGCUUCAUCCUUGAGAAUAACCAAUGGGGAUAGAUUUAAGAGACACUUAGAGUCUGCAGCCAACAGGGCUGAAUGAGCAUUCUGUUUUUCCUCUUCUAAUCCUUCACCCAUCUGAGCUAAAGUCUAGACCUAAGGAGGCUACUAAUUCAGGGAUCGAGUAAUCUGCCAAGCAAGAGUUUAUUCAAGCACAGUUUGAAAUAAAGGUUUCAAAUGCAUAGCCUGUCGAUACUUUGGAAGGAUUCUCAUCAUAACGAGUAUGCAAUUUGCUAUAAAGAAGAAUGCCCAUUACGGACUAAAUGUUUAUGUCCUCCUAAAAUUCAUAUGUUGAAGGCCUAACUCUCAAUGUGAUGAUUAUGUGGAGAUGGUGCCUUUGGGAGGUAACUGGGCUUAGAUGUGGGCGUGAGGGUGGGGCCUCAUGGUGAAAUUUGUGCCCUUGUAAGAAAAACACACCACAGGUUUUCAUUCUUCCUCUGCCACAUGAGGCCACAGUAAGAAUGUGACCAUCUGCUAGCCAGGAGGAAAGUCCUCACUGGAACCCGCCCAUAAUAACACUCCAGUCUGGGGCUUUUCAGCCUCCAGAACCAUGAGAAAUAAAUUUCUAGUGUUUAAGUCA
rnacentral:lncRNA from 1 species